rnacentral:rRNA from 1 species
UUGACCUCGGAUCAGGUAGGGAUACCCGCUGAACUUAAGCAUAUCAAUAAGCGGAGGAAAAGAAACCAACAGGGAUUGCCCUAGUAACGGCGAGUGAAGCGGCAAGAGCUCAAAUUUGAAAUCUGGCCUCCUUGGGGCCCGAGUUGUAAUUUGUAGAGGGUGCUUUGGCGUUGGCCGUGGCCUAAGUUCCUUGGAACAGGACGUCACAGAGGGUGAGAACCCCGUACGUGGCCGCCGGUCUUCGCCGUGUAAAGCCCCUUCGACGAGUCGAGUUGUUUGGGAAUGCAGCUCUAAAUGGGAGGUAAAUUUCUUCUAAAGCUAAAUACUGGCCAGAGACCGAUAGCGCACAAGUAGAGUGAUCGAAAGAUGAAAAGCACUUUGGAAAGAGAGUCAAAAAGCACGUGAAAUUGUUGAAAGGGAAGCGCUUGCAGCCAGACUUGCCCGCAGUUGUUCAUCUGGAUUUAAUCCGGUGCACUCUCCUGUGGGCAGGCCAGCAUCAGUCCGGGCGGUCGGAUAAAGGCCCUAGGAAUGUAUCUCUCUUCGGGGAGUGUUAUAGCCCAGGGUGCCAUGCGACCAGCCGGGACUGAGGUCCGCGCAUCUGCUAGGAUGCUGGCGUAAUGGCUGUAAGCGGCCCGUCUUGAAACACGGACCAAGGAGUCUAACAUCUAUGCGAGUGUUUGGGUGUCAAGCCCGGGCGCGUAAUGAAAGUGAACGGAGGUGGGAACCCCUCGGGGCGCACCAUCGACCGAUCCUGAUGUCUUCGGAUGGAUUUGAGUAAGAGCAUAGCUGUUGGGACCCGAAAGAUGGUGAACUAUGCCUGAAUAGGGUGAAGCCAGAGGAAACUCUGGUGGAGGCUCGCAGCGGUUCUGACGUGCAAAUCGAUCGUCAAAUUUGGGCAUAGGGGCGAAAGACUAAUCGAACUAUCUAGUAGCUGGUUCCUGCCGAAGUUUCCCCUCAGGAAA